UUCUGUUUUUGACCCUUCAGCGCAUCACCCUAGGACCCUUGAACGCAUCACCACACCUGAAACCAAGUAGGAAAAAAACAAACAUUUGGCACGCUGCUAACACUAUGGCCAAAAGAGAGGUUGACGCUGAGUACAGAGUGUUUCAGGAGAAGUGGGAGACUGAUUAUUUCUUCGUCGAGUUUAAGGGGAAUGCCACCUGUCUCAUCUGCAAUGAGAAAAUUGCCGUGUUUAAGGAGUAGGCUACAAUCUAAAGCGGCAUUAUUCAACUAAACAUGCAGAGCAGUAUGCUUAGUACCAGGGAGAUGAACGGACACAAUGAGCUGCACAGCUAAAGAAAGGACUGUCAACGCAACAAAACUUCUGCCAGAGAGCAAGAAAGGAGUCCAAUGCAGCACUUGAAGCAAGUUGUCAGUGAGAUGAUCGCCAAUCGAAAUUCAUUUUUUUUUUCAAUCAUUUUUUGUGGAAUACUUGAAGUGGCCCCCUUGGGACAAGACUGGAUGCUCAGCGGCCCUCAGCUCUCCUGGGAAUCUGCAAGGCAUUUCGUAUCUCCUGUAGCUCCAUAAUGACUCCCAUCCGGUCCAGGAGAGAGUUGGAUCGUCUCUGCCUGUUCUUCCAUCAGGUUCCAAGAAGGGAGGUCUGUUUGAGACCUGCUCCUCCUCCUCACUGUCUUCCUCCUCCAGAGUUUCUCCAUUGGAGAAGUGGAUGAUCCUCCUCUGUUUGGACAGGGCAGGACUCCCAAACUCUGUCUCCUGUAU